rnacentral:hammerhead_ribozyme from 1 species
AUUUAGCCGUUGAGUCCCAAAUAAGACGAAACGCGCAUCCUGGAU